GAUGAACGCUGGCGGCGUGCCUAAUACAUGCAAGUCGAGCGAACGGACGAGAAGCUUGCUUCUCUGAUGUUAGCGGCGGACGGGCGAGUAACACGUGGAUAACCUACCUAUAAGACUGGGAUAACUUCGGGAAACCGGAGCUAAUACCGGAUGAUAUUUUGAACCGCAUGGUUCAAAAGUGAAAGACGGUCUUGCUGUCACUUAUAGAUGGAUCCGCGCAGCAUUAGCUAGUUGGUAAGGUAACGGCUUACCAAGGCAACGAUGCAUAGCCGACCUGAGAGGGUGAUCGGCCACACUGGAACUGAGACACGGUCCAGACUCCUACGGGAGGCAGCAGUAGGGAAUCUUCCGCAAUGGGCGAAAGCCUGACGGAGCAACGCCGCGUGAGUGAUGAAGGUCUUCGGAUCGUAAAACUCUGUUAUUAGGGAAGAACAUAUGUGUAAGUAACUGUGCACAUCUUGACGGUACCUAAUCAGAAAGCCACGGCUAACUACGUG
rnacentral:rRNA from 1 species